CUUUAGUUUAAUGGGAUGGAGUGGGUUCGAAAAGGGAGAUCAAUACAGUUUUGUAGUUAUAUUUAGGCGCUUUCAAAGAAUUUUGUCAAUUACUAAAAGAUGUCCAGUUUUUGGAACAAUAUUCGCUAGGGUCCACCAGAUCACGUUGAUUGGGUGCGUCAUCGAAGUGAACUCAAUAACAUAUCAACAGUUAAAUAUUGUGAUAGGAAUAUUCUGCAUCGCAUGCACCGGCUAGGAUCAGAACGGGGUCGUAGGCCGAAUGCUGCAGUCACUCACGUACAUGCUUCAGCCCGCAGACGUCACCGGUCACUCUACCGGAACACUAUCUCCACUCGGAUCGGAAUCGACCGAUUAUCGCUUCAAACAGCUAUCACUAAUGAAAGCACUAAUUAAUGUGCCAAUCGGGCACAGCAUUGAUCAGUUGGCGUUUGUCUCACAUCAUUGUGCCCUUGAUUGAGGUUCCACUAAUCAAUCCUAAUUGUUAUUGGAGAAGGAGCCGCACGAAAUUUUCUGCAAACGUUUUGUUCUUCCUUUUAGGCUUUCGUUUCGUGACAGACCUUCGCCUUCAUCGCGAAUGAUUUCAAGCUUGAAUACAUUUUCUCACCAUAUCACCAACAUGGUGAUCAACCUACAGAUGUAUGCUGUAUCAUCUUUACACAAGCAGUGAAACCGACAAUUUUUUUUUCUCAUCAAAAAAACAAUAUUUGAUCAAAAUACGAUAUUCCUCUUUUUCCAUUUUCCAUACGAAUGCUCAGGUAGUGACACUUGAACAACUGUAGUGUGUGAACAAAUGAACGAAAUGUCAUGAAACUUCAAACAUAAGCUAGUGACAGAUGAACCUCUCGAAAUGAAUCUUGUUGAUUUUUAGUGGCGCCAGCUGCCGGGACUUUUCAGACCAUAAAUUAUUUCCUUCUUCUGUAAAAUAAUAUUUUGAUAAAACUGACCGGGUGAGUGGAUAUUGACGAAGACGUUGGAAAAGUGGUAUACGAAGUGUUGUAUCCGAGAUUAACAAAACGAUAACUUCAGUAAUAUUAUAUUGAAUUUACUAAUAAAUUAUGUAUAAUUAAAAAUAAA